AGAUUGAACGCUGGCGGCAGGCCUAACACAUGCAAGUCGAGCGGUAGAGAGGUGCUUGCACCUCUUGAGAGCGGCGGACGGGUGAGUAAUGCCUAGGAAUCUGCCUAGUGGUGGGGGAUAACGUUCGGAAACGGACGCUAACACCGCAUACGUCCUACGGGAGAAAGCGGGGGACCUUCGGGCCUCGCGCCAUUAGAUGAGCCUAGGUCGGAUUAGCUAGUUGGUGAGGUAAUGGCUCACCAAGGCGACGAUCCGUAACUGGUCUGAGAGGAUGAUCAGUCACACUGGAACUGAGACACGGUCCAGACUCUACGGGAGGCAGCAGUGGGAAUAUUGGACAAUGGGCGCAAGGCCUGAUCCAGCCAUACCGCGUGGGUGAAGAAGGCCUUCGGUUGUAAAGCCCUUUUGUUGGAAGAAAAGCAUUCGGUUAAUACCGGUGUUCUGACGGUACCUAAGAACUAAGCACCGCUAACUCGUGCCAGCAGCCGC
rnacentral:rRNA from 1 species